UUAUCUUAAAAAAUUAUAGUAAAAACAGAAUACUGUGUACAAUCUGCAUUAAGCACAAUUAGAGGACCUUGUGGCUUAUGCUACUUGCGUAUAAACUGUAGUCUGAAUAACUCUAAUUUUUGUUCUCAAAUACGCAAAGAAACAUAAUCCAAUUACUUAAUUAUUGUCCUUAUUCUAUUAAUGGGAAAAUUUGAUAAAAUAAUUUAACACAACACAAAAAAUGGGAUAGCAUUACAAUUCAUCCUCCCCCACUGAGAUCUAGAGAAAAGCCAUGUUGGGAGGGCACUGUAAUUACUGAUGAUGGGCGAGAUUCCCUGCGAAUGCACCUAGGCAAGGCAGCAUGACUUUUUUUUUUUGUUUUAAUCCAAUGCCAGAAAUUGAUCCAAGUUUCCCAAUACUCACCUACCUUCUCUCAUUUUCUUGUAUUCUUCAAGGCUCAGUAACGAAGCCUUGACCUUCAGCCAAUCUGCUGGCUUUGGCAUGAUAAUAGCAAUGUAUCCUUCUCUAUCUGCCGAAGAAUUAAGUAAUUCCGGCUGUUUGAUUAGCUUAUCAUUUACUUCCAACAAUGAGCCUUUAACACAACACCUGACAAUAUAGAAAGCAUCCUGCGUGCAAACUUUACACAAAGCCGUGUUUGACUCAAAGUGUUGUGCAUUCUUUUUGCGCUUUCCAGUGACCUUAAUGCCACUCCGAUCAGACUUGCCAACAUUGAAAUCAACGGCCGUGAUUCCUCCUCCAUCCUUAAAAGCCACAUGGGUAGGAGCCAAGCCGAUCACACACAAACCAUUGGCAUGGCGAUAAACGUACUGGUCGUGUCCUGGCUUUAUAAAAUCUGGAGCAAAAUUGGAGACGAAGUUGGUCUCAAUUGAAGAGGGUGGAAUUAGAGGAAGGUCGCGUACGUCAGGUAGAAGGAGCUUAUGUAACUCCUCAUCAGCAACUUGGUUUUGGUCAAAAUCUGGAACUCGUUUUGAUAUUUGUUUCUGGGUUAUCUUAUCUUGUAGUUUGGUUUCUAGAAUGUUCGAUUCGUCGAAUGAUUGAUUGCUCAUUGAAUUGAAGUGUUACAGAGAAGAAGAGGAUCGAUUUUCAGUUUCAG
rnacentral:misc_RNA from 1 species